rnacentral:ribozyme from 16 species
CAAAGAAGCUAACACAGCAUUGAAGAAACUCUGAGUGAAAGAACAAAAACAUAAAAAGAGAUGCGCAUCUUUCUUUUCUUCUUUUGUCUUAGCUUUUGUUUUACUGUGUUUUUUUUUUUUUUUUUUUUUAAAAUUUUU